rnacentral:rRNA from 1 species
UACAGAGGUCUCAAGCGUUGUUCGGAUUCAUUGGGCGUAAAGGGUGCGUAGGCGGCGCGGUAAGUCGGGUGUGAAAUCUCGGAGCUUAACUCCGAACUGCAUUCGAUACUGCCGUGCUUGAGGACUGGAGAGGAGACUGGAAUUUACGGUGUAGCGGUGAAAUGCGUAGAUAUUGGGAGGAACACCAGUGGCGAAGGCGGCUACCUGGACCGGUUCUGACGCUGAGGCGCGAAAGCGUGGGUAGCAAACAGG